UACGGGGGGAGCAAGCGUUGUUCGGAUUUACUGGGCGUAAAGGGCGCGUAGGCGGCCACCGCAAGUCAGUUGUGAAAUCUCUGGGCUUAACCCAGAAAGGUCAACUGAUACUGCGGGGCUAGAGUGCGGAAGGGGCAACUGGAAUUCUCGGUGUAGCGGUGAAAUGCGUAGAUAUCGAGAGGAACACCUGCGGCGAAGGCGGGUUGCUGGGCUGACACUGACGCUGAUGCGCGAAAGCUAGGGGAGCGAACGGG
rnacentral:rRNA from 1 species